rnacentral:misc_RNA from 1 species
GUAGGUGAACCUGCGGAAGGAUCAUUAACACGUAUCCAACGUUAAAACAACCCUGUGAACCUUCAUCAGUUUUCGCUCAACCCGUGGAAGCAGCAAUCCCUGGUAAAUCAUUGCCGACCAGUUAUUGAGUCAGGGACCUCUGCCAGUGCAUGAGAAGUUAAAGUUGAGCUUGAGAACUGCUCAAGUGGCCUGGCAUCCCCAAGUAGUCAGUGUCUGAAAGUGUCACUGAUUAUGUAAGGAUGGCGCAGUAAACGAUCGCUGGAGGCCAUCACGGCCGGCGACCGGGUCACCGGGCUCUGCCCCUUAAUAACUCCUGACAAAACUACUAGCUACGCGUGAAAUUCGCAUAGCAUUAAAAACCGAACAACUGUUAACAAUGGAUAUCUUGGUUCUC